rnacentral:lncRNA from 1 species
AUGAGCCUUUCACAUUGUUGUGAUAAUAGUGCAUCUGCUGAGUCAGUAUCUCUCUCUUUUUUUUUUAAUACCCCAUUUCCAGCAAGCUUGUUGCCCAGUUCCUGCUCACAACCAGGGAACGGCUGUAAGUCAAUGGAAAAAAAGAACAACGAGAAGUGCAAUCGCAGCCUCUGCUUGUGGUAUGACAGACUAUGCAGGCUCUGGGACUACCAUGCCAUCCUAUUCUACUCUGCUUUCAGGCUGCAAUUAGAAGUUGCAUUGGGAAGAAGCAACUUCCAUGCAAAGAUGUGGAUGGAACAUGAAUACUAUUCCAGUGAGAAUAAUACGUGCAAAAGGCCUGAUUCUCAGAGGCGAGGUCAUCGGCAUCUCCAUUUGCACAUCUGCUUUGCUAAAAGAAAAAACCCAGAGAUGUGCAAACCUCCAACAUGCACAAAAUGGGACUAGUUCACUGGUCAUUUAGCUCUGCAGGCAAGAAACUGUUUGUGCUUCUCAUUUACUUUUAACAGGUAGGUUACAGAAUUAGAAUCUCAGUAUAUGACUCUGCCACUGUCCAAAAAACCCUGCAUAAGGGCAUCUCUGCUGCUGUCUCCUCUGAUCUGCUGCUUUUUAAAUCUACACGGUUUUGGGAUUUUAAAUACAUUUAGAUGAAUUAAGGGCCCACAUCCCAAUACAGACAUUUUUACUGCAAUCUUUUGGACAAUUYGUACUCCAAGGCAAAAUUUUUUUUUGUUCCAUGCUUGACUCUGUGCAGUAUAAUGUAACAGUGUUACAUAUAAUGCUCAAGCUUGGAGGGCACUUCCUGAUAUUGGACAUAUUUUUAUAGCACGUGAACAUGUGUCACAUGACUUCCUCUAACUGAACUGAAAUUAUUUGCUCUGUAUGCAAAAUAUUUGCUGUUCAACAACAGGGAGCAUUUUGCUAGUCUUCACAUGUGGGUACCUGUAUGCUCUAUAUUAAAAAGGAAAAGAAGAUAGGCUUCUCAGUGCCACAUCAUACAAGAGAAGUCAGGAUACUAACAUGUAAAAAAAGAGCAUAAUAUGUCAACCAGCUUCAGAAAGUUGCUUAUGUUCAAUGUCUCACUACUUGGACUGUGCAGACACUGAUAGCAGAAAAAGCUGUCUAAUCAGAGCUCCUGUAGAGACAGUCCUCCUGGAGCCUGCCUUUCACAAACUUAUCUAGAUUCACUCUUUGGGGGCUUCAAGAGAAGAGCUSAAAUAUUUCUACUUCCUGCUCUUAAUAUAUUUUUUCACACCUCAAAAAGGUCUUCUGAUUGUAAUGUAUUUGCACUUGAUACCUAGAUACUGGUUCUUGUUCAGUGACCUUUAAUACACAGUAUUUUGUGCCUCAUACAUUUUACAUGAUAUAAAACACUGAUGUCAGUAUAAUUCCAAUGGUGGCAAAAUUGGUUUCAAUUAAUGCAAUUUGAUAAUCAUAUAUAUGCCUAAUAAUUUCUGGAUUUAUGCUAAUCUAAAAUGUCCCUUAAUAUCCUGGAAUAAAGACUUCCACAGGUAAUCUCUAUAUACUAGU